rnacentral:rRNA from 1 species
CUCGUAGGCGGCCAACUAAGUCGGACGUGAAAUCCCUCGGCUUAACCGGGGAACUGCGUCCGAUACUGGAUGGCUUGAGUUUGGGAGAGGGAUGCGGAAUUCCAGGUGUAGCGGUGAAAUGCGUAGAUAUCUGGAGGAACACCGGUGGCGAAGGCGGCAUCCUGGACCAACACUGACGCUGAUGAGCGAAAGCCAGGGGGAGCAAACG